CCCUUAGUGGCUCAGAUGGUAAAGAAUCUGCCUGCAAUGCAGGAGACCCAGGUUCCAUCCCCUGGAGAAGGGA
rnacentral:tRNA from 1 species